AGUUGCCUCCCAUAUUCCUCUCUUGGAUCUUUAUCUCUGUCUGCACCUGCUUCUUGACUGUUCAAUCUAGAUCUAUCCCUCCCCUCUGUUGAUGGUCAGGUUGACUCAGAAUAAUGAUACAGAGGGUGGGAGAGGAAAAACUUUGGGCUUAUCUGCAGAAAAUGUUUCCUCGGAAGAAGAAAAACAUCCAAGUUUAACUUGGCCCUAGAUCCUUUCUUAUGGUGAAUUAAUCCUUCUGACCUUUCUCAAUUGAUAAGAUAAUUUGAAGGCAGCAUCAAUUGCUCCUUUCAGUUUGGGCAGUCUGGCUUGUGCAGAUACAUCCAUAAAGAUCCAUCCUUAACCGACCCAUCCAUACCUACUUUCGCAUCUUGGGAAGGAAACCUCGAGCUGAGAAAAAAUGAAGCUGUCCUUCGCGGGUGCUGCUUUGUUGAUUUCUGUGCUCUGCACUCUUGCUCAGCAUGGCCAUGCUCAUCCACGCCCUGCUUGCGGGGGUCGACAAAGACGUCCUUCGCAUAGCCACCAUCCUCCUCCUCCACAAUCCUCUUACGGUCUUUCUCC